UGCCUGUAACUGAGUGAGAUAUUUACCCAUUUUCAAAAGACUGGAAAAUAAAUGUGUGUAUGGGACAGCAGGCACUCCGACCGCACAGUUAUUUUUUUAGAGCGAGAGGGGAAGAGAGAUAGUUCAUUGCUCAUUGUCUUUCAGAUGUCCAACUGUACUUUCAUGUCAAUUGAAAAAUGUCCUGAGUGUGUUGCUAAGACCCGUGUGCGUCUAUAAGAGACGGCUGCAGAAAAAUCUUGCUGUAUGAGGCAGAGGCGUGUGCGCCUUUUUGGAGUUUCAAAAGGUUCCCAUUCACCAUGGAUAUUGGCCAAAACAAGCCCUACUACUUUGGGACCAUUGGAUUUACGAGGAACAAUACAAACUUUUCUGGAACAUUUGAGUCAGGAAUUCCAAAAUGAAGCAAGCGAGAAAUGGAAGCCUUCCCGACACACGGCCAAGACUUGUCACCGUGUUUACUCAACGCAGGAAAGCAAAACAGGCUGAAAGGCGACACCGCCGCUCUUAUUUGGAGACCAGAUUUGGUCCUCAUGUUCUCAAUCAAGUUGUCUUAUUGCCAAGCGCGCUCAUAAAAAGCCAGCUAACUUCAUUACACAGAGCUCAAUAAGAAACACAUGACUGCCACGACGCAGCAAUAUUAGCACCGCGUGUGUGCGUGUAAGGCUCGGGGGUGAAGGGAGUUCACUGGAAAAUCUAAACCAUUCAAAACAUUACCGCCUUAUUAUGUCUGGCUACUCUAUACUGCUGAAUUAAUUCGACGACUUCAAGGUUGGUCGCCAUCCAGUGAACGUAUACGUGGAGUACUGCAGAUUUUUAAUACAAUUUUACCGGUGAUAUAAUAAAGGGGAAGUAUGACAUGAAUUACAGAAUGCAAUUUUAUGUAAAAGUUCUGAAUACUGAUGAGCUGACGCUGAAAUGAAAGGCUACCAAAUACUAUAUAUUGAAUACACAAUUUAUGCAAUUUUUACUUGUGUUUGUUAUGUUUAAUAUAUCAAAUGGAAUGUAAUAAGUGGAAAAUCAUCAAAAUUGACUGACUGAAACUCAUUUUGUAAGUCAGAUGUUGUCUUACAAUACACAUUGACAAGCACACACCCCUACACACAAAAAUACAAGACUUGUAACAAAAAAAUACCCCCAAAAAAUCUUAAAACUAUUGUGACCAAAUAAUAUACCGUAUUUUCCGCACUAUAAGGCGCACCUAAAAGCCUUAAAUUUUCUCAAAAGCCGACAGUGCACCUUAUAAUCCGGUGCGCCUUAUGUAUGAAUCAA